rnacentral:rRNA from 1 species
UGGGGAAUUUUCCGCAAUGGGCGAAAGCCUGACGGAGCAACGCCGCGUGGGGGAUGAAGGCCUCUGGGCUGUAAACCUCUUUUCUCAAGGAAGAAGAUCUGACGGUACUCGAGGAAUAAGCCACGGCUAAUUCCGUGCCAGCAGCCGCGGUAAUACGGGAGUGGCAAGCGUUAUCCGGAAUUAUUGGGCGUAAAGCGUCCGCAGGCGGCCUUGUAAGUCUGUCGUUAAAGCGUGGAGCUCAACUCCAUUUCGGCGAUGGAAACUACAAGGCUUGAGUGUGGUAGGGGCAGAGGGAAUUCCCGGUGUAGCGGUGAAAUGCGUAGAUAUCGGGAAGAACACCAGUGGCGAAGGCGCUCUGCUGGGCCAUCACUGACGCUCAUGGACGAAAGCCAGGGGAGCGAAAGGGAUUAGAUACCCCUGUAGUCCUGGCCGUAAACGAUGAACACUAGGUGUCGGGGGAAUCGACCCCCUCGGUGUCGUAGCCAACGCGUUAAGUGUUCCGCCUGGGGAGUACGCACGCAAGUGUGAAACUCAAAGGAAUUGACGGGGGCCCGCACAAGCGGUGGAGUAUGUGGUUUAAUUCGAUGCAACGCGAAGAACCUUACCAGGGCUUGACAUCCCGCGAACCCCUGAGAAAUCGGGGGGUGCCUUCGGGAGCGCGGAGACAGGUGGUGCAUGGCUGUCGUCAGCUCGUGUCGUGAGA